rnacentral:rRNA from 1 species
UACGGAGGGUGCAAGCGUUAUCCGGAUUCACUGGGUUUAAAGGGUGCGUAGGAGGGCAGGUAAGUCAGUGGUGAAAUCCCCGAGCUUAACUUGGGAACUGCCGUUGAUACUAUCUGUCUUGAAUAUUGUGGAGGUGAGCGGAAUAUGUCAUGUAGCGGUGAAAUGCUUAGAUAUGACAUAGAACACCAAUUGCGAAGGCAGCUCACUAAACAGCGAUUGACGCUGAGGCACGAAAGCGUGGGGAUCAAACAGG